GCCGAUGUCUGAUUAGCUAGUUGGUGGGGUAAAGGCCUACCAAGGCAACGAUCAGUAGUUGGUCUGAGAGGACGACCAACCACACUGGGACUGAGACACGGCCCAGACUCCUACGGGAGGCAGCAGUGGGGAAUUUUGGACAAUGGGCGCAAGCCUGAUCCAGCCAUGCCGCGUGAGUGAAGAAGGCCUUCGGGUUGUAAAGCUCUUUCAGUUGGGAAGAAACGAUUGCAACUAAUAAUUGUAAUUAAUGACGGUACCGACAGAAGA
rnacentral:rRNA from 3 species